GAUGAAUGCUGGCGGCGUGCCUAACACAUGCAAGUCGAGCGGCAGCGAGGGGUGCUUGCACCCUGUCGGCGAGCGGCGAACGGCUGAGUAACGCGUAGGAAUUUGCCCCAAGGUGAGGAAUAACUGCCCGAAAGGGUAGCUAAUGCCGCAUAUGGUCUUCGGAUUAAAGGAUUUAUCCGCUUUGGGAGAAGCCUGCGUUGGAUUAGGUUGUUGGUAGGGUAAUGGCCUACCAAGCCGACGAUCCAUAGCUGGUCUGAGAGGAUGAUCAGCCAGACUGGAACUGAGACACGGUCCAGACUCCUACGGGAGGCAGCAGUGAGGAAUCUUCCACAAUGGGCGAAAGCCUGAUGGAGCAACGCCGCGUGAAGGAUGAAGGCCUUCGGGUUGUAAACUUCUUUUAUGAGUGAAGAAUAUGACGGUAACUCAUGAAUAAGCACCGGCUAACUACGUG
rnacentral:rRNA from 1 species